AGCAUGGGCUGGAGGCCCAAAUGUAGAUAAAAAUGAAAUAUCAGUUCGAAACAGAUAAAAAUGUAGAAAACUGCUACUUCUCGACCCACUUUUGAAGUUCAAAACUUAAACCCUAGUUCUCUCUCUCUCUUUCUUCUGCAUCUUCAACCUUGGCAAGGGAAGCCACAGCUGUUGAGCAACAUCAAUGCCUGCACUGCCGUCGUUGACAUCGUUCGCACCACCCUCGACCCUCGCGGCAUGGACAAGCUCAUCCACGAUGACAAGGGAGCCGUCACCAUCUCCAACGACGACGCCACCAUCAUGAAGCUCCUCGACAUCGUCCACCCCGCUGCAAAAAUCCUCGCCGACAUCGCCAAGUCUCAGGACUCUGAGGUUAAUGUAUAUAGGUGUGGAUUUGGAUGAAAGUGGUGUGUGACUGAAAAUGUGGGGGAUCCCGUGACUGGGCCUGUCCACAGUGCAGUUCUAUGAUCUUGUGAGAAGUAAUAGAAGUUAUUGGUGUCUGGUUAUGUUAUGUUGUUAAGUGUAAUAGACAAAAAGGAAUCACUGAAUGUGGCUACUACGUGAUGCAUUGGAUGUCCACGAUA